rnacentral:rRNA from 1 species
CCUACGGGCGGCUGCAGUGAGGAAUAUUGGUCAAUGGGCGAAAGGCUGAACCAGCCAUCCCGCGUGCAGGAUGACGGCCCUAUGGGUUGUAAACUGCUUUUGUACCUGAAGAAACCUGGUUACGAGUAACCAGUUGCCGGUAAGGUAUGAAUAAGCAUCGGCUAACUCCGUGCCAGCAGCCGCGGUAAUACGGAGGAUGCAAGCGUUAUCCGGAUUCAUUGGGUUUAAAGGGUGCGCAGGUGGGAAAAUAAGUCAGUGGUGAAAUACUGCCGCUUAACGGUAGAAUUGCCAUUGAUACUGUUUUUCUUGAGUAUGGUUGAGGUAGGUGGAAUGUGUUGUGUAGCGGUGAAAUGCAUAGAUAUGACACAGAACGCCGAUUGCGAAGGCAGCUUACUAAGCCAUUACUGACGCUGAGGCACGAAAGCGUGGGGAUCAAACAGGAUUAGAUACCCCAGUAGUC